AGUAGGAUUCUCAGGAAGGAGGAACUGCAGGAACAAUUCAGAAGGACUGAAAGCUGUGCCAAACGGGAGAGACAAUUGCUGCUGUAAAGGAUCUGCUGUGAGGUCAGUCUGGGUCUGCUGUUAGAGCCUGCAGUCAGAGUCUGCAAGGGAAGUCUACAGUGGGAGUUUGCUGUAGUCAGUCAGGAUGGCUGAGCUGUGAAGAAGAAUAAUCCAGGACCCUUUUCACACUGAUAAACAAGAGUGUGUGUCUCAGCUUAUUUCUAUCUCAAACAUGGGGUCUGCUGCAACAAUUGCACAUCGAGGCUUCUAUCUAAUCCUGCUCUUCCACUUUACUCUGUAAUUUCAAGUUGUAGAGGGCAAUGCACAUCUGCACUGUGACUUGGCCCAAAUCAAACAGCAGAAGAAUCCAGAGAUGUACUAGGAUCUGCAGAAAUGCAAGCAGUAAUGGGUAUUCAUCUUUGAAAGGAAUGUCAACCCCUGCACUGAAGAUCAGAAGAACGAGUUUGGGAGUGGGGGAGUAUGGAUGCCAUGGGACAGAGAGAAAGGCAAGCAUUUCUCACAGCAGCUUGUGACAAUUUUUAGGGACUUGUAAGGAUGUGAUAACUUGUUAAGUAUAAACAAUCUGCAGGUGGUGUUUUUCUACUUCGUCUUUCUGUACUUCUCAAGGACAGUGUGUGAGGAAGAUGUUUUUGUUAGUUAGCCAAUCAAAUAGAAUUUAUAGUAUCACUCUAUAAAAAUCGCGCAUUUCUCUUGAAUAAAGCCUUCUUUGCUCUUUCUACAAUACUGCCUCCCACCUGUUCCUGUGUCAUUCUUGGCGCAUGAGUGACAUCUGGUGACUCGACCUGUGUACUGCACCGGUCGGCCUUUGCAGAGAGCGGCAGUCGCCCGGGACCCCCGCCGGACUCCGCCGGGGCACGCGGUGCUCGCGCGGCUUGGCUGCGUUCGGACACCCUUUGUUUCCCCGGAGAGGAACCUGCCAGCAGAUGAGAUGGAGCUGUGUGGAAACCAAUGAAACUUUAAAUUGCCACCAUAAUUGCUUCUAUUGUCAGUUUGUUAAUGUUUGUAAUUUGUUUGGUUUUUUGUGACUUGUUGGGAGACCAAAUAUUAGUCAAAGCAUUUUAUGUAUUGUUAAGCUUGAUUUUUUUUGUCAAGCUUGUGUUAUCUUUUUACAGAAAAAAAAUGUUGUGGCUGAAGUUCUCAUGGAUGUAUUGUUUGUCUCAAGCAAUUUUAUCCUGGGAGUGAAAUGGUGGUUUUGGGGGAUUUGCUUAAGUUAGGAAUAUGAAUUAAGCAUUUAAAUUUUAGCUUGUAGAAUUAUGUGUUGAAUUUUAACCUUUUACUUAAGAAACCUCUGUCAUGGUACAAAGGGCAUAGGAAAAUGCAAAUUUCUGAAGCUUCUUGCGAUAAAGUACAAGACCAGGAGUGUAGCAGUCUCAAGGCCUGCAAGGCCUCCUUGGAGGUCAGAAGCCUGAGCUAGGAAAUGCCAAGUCAGCAUGACUGAACCUUAGAAGCCCCUCUCUUCUGCCUUUCGGACCCUGCUUAUCUCUCUGUAAGCCUACAGGUCACUUUCCCCUGACCCUUACUAUUGGACAGUUUCCAAAACCCCUGUAGGGCAUAAAAACCCCUGAUUCUGCCUGGUUCGGCAGAAGAGCUGUCACUGAGAACCUUAGCGGAACACCCGAAUAAAGAAUCCUGUGGAACCUCACACGGCCUUCUCCUCUCUCUCCCUGUGUCUGCUGCUGCGGCACCUAGCAAGCUGAAAUCACUGAGCUGAUAAUCACUAAGAGCUGAAAAUCACUAUAGCUUGCUUAGGCUGCUGUGCUGAGCCUCCACUGAGCUAUCCUGGCUCCAGCACCCUGCUGGGCAUCAGCCCGGCGGGAAACUGCCGUGAUACAGGAGAAGACCAGGGAAUGCAAGAAACCUAGAUAAAGGAACUCCUCUAUCUCCAAGCUGAUCAAAACCGACAGACAUACUCAGAUAAGCACCAAGGGACCACAGUGCACGUGCAAAGGAGAAAAGUUCAAAAGUUCAGUCAUGAGGAAGAACACAACCUUCGGCCUCAGAGACCACCAAAGACCCCCCAUGCGACCACCACAGCAAACAAUGCAUGCUCAGAAGGGCGUGGAUCUAAUUACCAUGUGAGGCAAGGACAGGCGGGGCCAGGGGUUGAAUAUGCAUUAAAGGAUUUUGUAAUGUAAUGCAUAUGGAACAUCUUUGUGAAUAAAGAUAUGGCCCAGACCGGAGCUCGGUGAACAAGCUUUCACAAGAGCUAUCUCACUUGUGCCGGGCACUGACAUACAUACCCACUUCAUAACUACAUUAGGUUGUGGAGUCUAUUUAUUCCACAUAUCGCUUCAGGCGUUGGUACAAGAAUUUAUACGUAUAUGAAAUCAUACAAAUAUGUAUCGACCUUCCCAGUUCUGCCUUGGAAGUCUCUAAAAUUAUUAUAAUUUGGCCAAAUUUUUCAGAAUUAAUAAUUAGUGAACUAAAGAAUCCUAACAGAACACAAGAAAAUGUUGCAUGAAAAAUGAUUGAGCCCCCCUUCCUAAACCAGGUGGGACAGCCAUGAAUUGCAAAUAGAAUAUGCAUAAAUCACAAAACAGCCUUCUACCAACUCUCCAACCAACCAAAUAUUCCCACCUGAACGUCUCUGAUGUGCUGUUGAAUUUCCUGUCAUAUGACCUGGGAAAAUAUUUUAACUUUAUGUCGCUUCUUUUAAUUAUGUUAAUUAGUGUGGUGACCCUAGCACAUUCUGCACCAAACAUGCUCCUUAGUCAUGGGUGCAAAAUGUUAUGAAGGCAAUUUGCCCACUAAAAUUCAAAAGAAACAAGUUUCUUGGGGUAAUACAACUAAAUUUGAAAGGGAAUUAUUUUAAUUUUAAUCCCACCAAUAAUAAAGCCACAGUUUCUGUUUUGUGUCAAUGUCGAAUGCAGGGCACCCCUGACGCAGGGAAUUAUUGGCAUCUGACUCCAUUGAUUCAGAAGGCUGAAUAAUUGCUUUAUUAAAACUAUAUUAUAUUACAUUAUACUAUAUUAUAAUUAUACUAAAGAGAUACUAUACUAAACAAUACUAAAGAAUACUAAAAAGAUAGUAAAGAAAAACUUGUGACUGUCUGAGACAGCCAAGACACAGCUUUUGCCCAAUUGGCUAAGGAAACAAAACAAUCCUCAGCAGAAUCCAAUUGACAAAUCACUUCAGGUAAACAAUCUUCUUAACACAUUCCACAUGUGCAAAAAUAACAGGAGCAGCAAUUAGAAAUAAAAAUUGUUUUCUCUUCUUCUCUCUGUGCUUCUCCAGGAAAAAUCUUGAGAGAGAAAAUUAUGUCUCUCUCUGUUCAAAGAAUGUGAAUACCACAUGUCAAGACUAAAUUACAGCAGUGCUAUAAUCUAGACCCUGGAAAAUAGAACAUAGCCCUAAUGUAAAGAUGUGUUUGCAUGAGAGCCUUUUGUAUUAAAUUUUUUUUGUAUGUGAAUUUUGUAUGGUAAAGAUUAAUUUUUCAGGAUGUGUAGAAUUACCCAGUGGAACAAGAAUAUUACCUAUAAAAUUCUUCCAACUAAAUGUGGAUGUGGUCAAGAGAAAUACCUAUUUUAAAGCCUUUGAAGUAUGUAAACACAUAUCCUCAACAAACUCAUUCACAUUUGUUCCUGUGUGCAAAGUUAAUAAAUUGUACUAUGGGAGCUGAGAAUUCUCUUGAAAUUUGAUUUAUUGACACAUGUCAAUAUGUGUAUCUACUGAGGAUACCCCUGUGGUGGGUUUUAGUGUUGGCUAAAUGUUAGUGCACUUGCUGGAAUACACUUCCUUAUUUUUUUGUUAUGAGAUAGAAUUAGGAGGAAGGAAAAGUAGGCUUAAAAUUUUGAAAGGGUAUAAAGAAAAAAUUAUUAAUAGUAAUUAAAAGAAAGAAUAAUAAAAAUCAGAAUAAAACUUUUUGAACACUUCCCUUUACAACUUUUCUUUCCUACUUAUAACGCAUAGAAAAAAAUUAGUUUAGCACUUCUAGAAUAGUCUUUCUUUAAUUUACUUAGGAAGAGAAGUCUUUUUUGUUAAUUUAUGGAAACAGCUCUACUAGAAAACAGUUCUCUUAUGGCUUCUAAUUUUCACAAAUAGCAGCCACCUGGGAAAUUUACAAUUGUGAAGUCCCUCCCAUUUCCCACAGCUGUGUUUAUGUGCUGUAAUAGAUGAUAUGUAUAAAAUCAUGCUGAGGAUACAGUAAUCUUGCCUGAUAAAAAUCCUGGCAUACCAAAGGAGAGUUCCGGGAAAUUCCCUCUGAUGAGAUUACAGCGAUAUGCACCAAAAUCCUAGCCUGAAUAUUCGUCUCCAGAAAUGUUGAUUCCAGAGGAUUAUUCGUCUGACCAAACCCCAGCAAUAUGCAUUCGAUAUGCAUCAUCGAUAAAAUAAAUAUGUGUCUCCUAGAAUGUAUAUUGCAGGAGAUUUUCCUCUAACAAGGUGAAUUAUUUACCAGUUUUGAGAAACUCAGCAAGAGCAGCAGCAAGAAAGGAAAAACUACAUGAAUAUACUAAAAAGAUAAGAUCAACUCUAAGAAAGCAAUAAACCCUCCGCGGCAACCCUCAGAGCUUGGAAAUGUAUAAAAAAGACUGUGAGAGCUGUCUCUUCGUAAUGCACAGAGGAGAGGAGCCAGAGUGCCCUACCUGUCUCACCCAACACUGUUAGCCUGGUUCA